GCUUAAUGCAAAAUUUGAUGCAGAUUUGUUGCUGUACUUUGCUCAGUCAUUUUGAAUGCAACUGUCACACAGUACAAACACUCAUUCAAUAGUGUCUACUGCCCCCACUGACUAGUACAGUGAAGUCAUCAUUGUUCACACAUGAACAUUCCAGUCCACUUUCCUUGGCUAGCAGGUUACAUUGAUGUCGUGCAAAACAUUCUCAUUAUAUUGAUAAUGGUUGGAAUUUUUUUGGACAGACCUUGUGUAGUAAACAUUAGUCCUUCAUCAUAUUUUUGGUUUGCAAAUGUUUCUCCCAAUCUGUAACUUGUCUUUUUUAUCCUUUUCAUAUGGGUUUCCAAAGGGGAAAAUUUUUAAUUUUGAUUAGCUUCAGUUUAUCAGCUUUUCCUCUCUAGAUCGUGCUGUUGGUUUUAAGUCUGAGAACUCUUUGCUUAUGUCCUAGAUCACAACAUUCUAUGUUUUUUUUUAAAUUUUAAAGUUUUACAUUUAAAUUCGUGAUUUUUUUGUGUAAGGUUGAUGUUCUUUUGUUUUUUGUUUUUUUUUAGCCUAUGGAUGUCUGGUUACUUUAGCACCAUCUGUUGAAAAGACUUUCCUCCCUUCAUUAAUUUUAAGUUUUCAUUUAAAAGAGUUGAGCAUAUUUGUACUGGUUUCUUUCUGAGUUCUCUUUUCUGUUCCGUUGAAUUAUGAGUCUAUUUCUUCACCAAUACCACACUGUCUCAAUUACUGUGACUAUAUAGUAAGUCUUAAUGUCAGGCAGAGUGAUGCCUCCCUCUUUAUUCUUCAUUGUUAAGAUUGUUUUAGCUACACUCGGGCUGUGCUUUUUCAUAUAAAUUUUACAAUAAGCUUGUUUAUGUUUACAAAAAUUUUACUGAGAAUUUUAUGGAAAUUUCAUUAACAGUAUAGAUCAAUUUGUGGGCCAGUAGCAUUUUUACUGUGCUGUGUCAUUCUACCCACAAACACAGUGUGUCUCUAUUUAUUGUGGUCUUUGAUUUCCUUCUGCAUCUUUGAACCUUUCAGCAUACAGAUCCUGUACCUGAUUUGUUUAAUGCGUGCCUAAGUAUUUCAGUUUCUUUUGAGUACUUGUGAAUGGUAUCAUUUUGUUUCUGUUUGUUCAUUGUUGGUGUAUAGAAAUGUGAAUUAUUUUUGUGCGCUGAUCUUUUAUUCUUACAUCUUACUGAAUUCACUAGUUCUAGGAGGUUUCCUUUUAUAGAUUCCUUGGAAUUUUUCUAUGUGGACAACCAUAUCUACAAACAGAGAUCGUUUUAUUUCUUCCUUCUCUUUCUGCAUUUAAAUUAUUUCUCACGCUUUCUUUUUGUGGCUAGAACUUGCAGGAUUGUAUUGAAUGAGAGUGAAGAGAGUGGCUGUCCUUUCUUUGUUCCCUGUCUUAGAAGGAACACAUUUAGUUCUUUGUGGAAUAGAAUGUUAGUUGUAGAUUUUUUUUUAAAGAUGCUUUUUUAGGUGCUU